AAACUUACUUGGCUGGGAGUGAACUCGCGAUCAUGAAGGCGAGUACUCCACGGUGAGGUCUAACCCAUUGCACUUGCGGGACUUGACUGACCCGUGUGGCGACUCCGAGUUGGAGCCUGCCAACAGCGUAAUUUUUGCGUUUGGGGACGGUCAGCAAACCGCUCCCCG
rnacentral:snRNA from 1 species